UAGCUCUUUAACAAUUUGGAAAGCUGACAAAUCAACAAUUUAUUUGUUGAUUGUAAAGUUCUCAAUGUUUGUCUUUAAGACAAACACCAAUACAACACAUUCAAGUGUUCUUGGGAAUGUCACUUUUAGUGACUAUUCAAAAUUGAGUCCGGCAAAAUCGAGUCUGCACAUGUAUAAAAAUGCAGACAACUUUGGUUGUUUAACAACAUCCUCAAGAUUCGCUUCGCGAAACUCUUUGGGGUUGUAU
rnacentral:misc_RNA from 1 species